AUCAUUCCUUCUUCCUCAGGGCUCAUCUACCUCCUCCAGGUCUUCUUCCUCUAGGUUCUCUCUGACCAGCCAACCCACCCUUUUAUCACACUUAUCUUUAUUAGUCAUAGCUGUGACGCUUUAAGGGCAAAGCUGUUCUUCUUCUUUGGUAAUUUGUACAGCUAUGACUUAUCAGGUGCCUUGUAGACAGGAUAACAAGACAGCAUGAUGGGACAGAUAUUUUGACCCAGCUCCACAAGCCUAGCAUCUCCCAGCUAGUGAUCUAUCCCAUAUAUCAUUGAUAUCCCAGGAGCUGCCAGGCGGGAUUAUCAACAAUAAAAGUUUUCAAAUUGUCAUGCCA